AGCGAACGCUGGCGGCAGGCUUAACACAUGCAAGUCGAGCGGGCAUCUUCGGAUGUCAGCGUCAGACGGGUGCGUAACACGUGGGAACGUACCCUUCGUUUCGGAACAACUCUGGGAAACUGGAGCUAAAACCGGAUACGCCCUUAGGGGGAACGGUUUACUGCCGAAGUAUCGGCCCGCGUCUGAUUUGCUAGUGGGUGGGUUAACGCCGUACCAAGGGGGCGAUCGGUAGUUGGCGAGGGAGGAUGAUCAGGCACACGGGGAAUGGGACAUGGCCCAGACGCCGGCGGGAGGGGGGAAUGGGGAAUAUUGGGCGAAGGGCGCAAGCAUGGACCACCCGUGGCGGGUGAGUGAUGGAGGCCUUAAGGUUGUAAAGCGCUUUUGUCCGGGACGUUAAUGACGGUACCGGAAGAAUAAGCCCCGGCUAACUUCGUG
rnacentral:rRNA from 1 species